GCUCCUCGCAGGUGCUGUUGUAGCAGCUGUGCAGUAGGUCAGGGCUGGCCCCCAGUGCAGCUUUGCACAUGAAGUAGGAGGAGGCCCUGCUGCUUGUCAGAGCCCAGCAGAGUCUUGGUGUUCUGUCGGGUUCCUGUGGCCGGACCAGUGGCAGGGUGCUGUGGAAGCUGUCGAAUCUCCUCCCUCUGUCCAGUACCCCCGCUCGUCUUCUAGCUCCCUCCUACGCCCGGGCCACGUUUCAGUUAUGCUCACUUCCUCUGACCGCCGAGGCUCCUGCGUGUCUCCAUACAGCUCACGCUGC
rnacentral:lncRNA from 1 species